AACGAACGCUGGCGGCAUGCCUAACACAUGCAAGUCGAACGAAGUCUUCGGACUUAGUGGCGCACGGGUGCGUAACGCGUGGGAAUCUGCCCUUGGGUACGGAAUAACUCAGAGAAAUUUGUGCUAAUACCGUAUGAUGACGUAAGUCCAAAGAUUUAUCGCCCAGGGAUGAGCCCGCGUAGGAUUAGCUAGUUGGUGAGGUAAAGGCUCACCAAGGCGACGAUCCUUAGCUGGUCUGAGAGGAUGAUCAGCCACACUGGGACUGAGACACGGCCCAGACUCCUACGGGAGGCAGCAGUGGGGAAUAUUGGACAAUGGGCGAAAGCCUGAUCCAGCAAUGCCGCGUGAGUGAUGAAGGCCCUAGGGUUGUAAAGCUCUUUUACCGGGGAAGAUAAUGACUGUACCGGGAGAAUAAGCCCCGGCUAACUCCGUGCCAGCAGCCGCGGUAA
rnacentral:rRNA from 1 species